CGAAUGCUGACGUGAGUAACGACAAAACGGGUGAAAAACCCGUUCGCCGAAAGACCAAGGGUUCCAGUCCAACGUUAAUCGGGGCUGGGUGAGUCGACCCCUAAGGCGAGGCCGAAAGGCGUAGUCGAUGGGAAAAUGGUUAAUAUUCCAUUACUUCUGUGUAAUGCGAUGAGAGGACGGAGAAGGCUAAAUCAGCCUGGCGUUGGUUGUCCAGGUGAAAGGAUGUAGGCAUGUAUCUUAGGCAAAUCCGGGGUACUCUAUGCUGAGAUCUGAUAGCAAGCUGUACUUGUACAGCGAAGUGGUUGAUGCCAUGCUUCCAGGAAAAGUCUCUAAGCUUCAGUUACACAGGAAUCGUACCCGAAACCGACACAGGUGGUCAGGUCGAGUAGACCAAGGCGCUUGAGAGAACUCUGCUGAAGGAACUAGGCAAAAUGGUACCGUAACUUCGGGAGAAGGUACGCUGUUGUUGGUGAUGGAACUCGCUUCCUGAGCUGACGACAGCCGCAGAAACCAGGCCGCUGCAACUGUUUAUUAAAAACAUAGCACUCUGCAAACACGAAAGUGGACGUAUAGGGUGUGAUGCCUGCCCGGUGCUGGAAGGUUAAUUGAUGGGGUUAGCGUAAGCGAAGCUCUUGAUCGAAGCCCCAGUAAACGGCGGCCGUAACUAUAACGGUCCUAAGGUAGCGAAAUUCCUUGUCGGGUAAGUUCCGACCUGCACGAAUGGCAUAAUGAUGGCGGCGCUGUCUCCAGCAGAGGCUCAGUGAAAUCGAAAUCGCUGUGAAGAUGCAGUGUACCCGCGGCUAGACGGAAAGACCCCGUGAACCUUUACUGCAGCUUGACACUGAACUUUGACCUUACUUGUGUAGGAUAGGUGGGAGGCUUUGAAGCUGGAACGCUAGUUCCAGUGGAGCCGUCCUUGAAAUACCACCCUGGUAAUGUUGAGGUUCUAACUCUGUCCCGUGAUCCGGGACGAGGACCGUGUCUGGUGGGUAGUUUGACUGGGGCGGUCUCCUCCUAAAGAGUAACGGAGGAGUACGAAGGUGCGCUCAGCGUGGUCGGAAAUCACGCGUAGAGUAUAAAGGCAAAAGCGCGCUUAACUGCGAGACCCACAAGUCGAGCAGGUACGAAAGUAGGUCUUAGUGAUCCGGUGGUUCUGUAUGGAAGGGCCAUCGCUCAACGGAUAAAAGGUACUCUGGGGAUAACAGGCUGAUACCGCCCAAGAGUUCAUAUCGACGGCGGUGUUUGGCACCUCGAUGUCGGCUCAUCUCAUCCUGGGGCUGAAGCAGGUCCCAAGGGUAUGGCUGUUCGCCAUUU
rnacentral:rRNA from 1 species